UGGGGAAUAUUGCACAAUGGGCGCAAGCCUGAUGCAGCCAUGCCGCGUGUAUGAAGAAGGCCUUCGGGUUGUAAAGUACUUUCAGCGGGGAGGAAGGGAGUAAAGUUAAUACCUUUACUCAUUGACGUUACCCGCAGAAGAAGCACCGGCUAACUCCGUGCCAGCAGCCGCGGUAAUACGGAGGGUGCAAGCGUUAAUCGGAAUUACUGGGCGUAAAGCGCACGCAGGCGGUCUGUCAAGUCGGAUGUGAAAUCCCCGGGCUUAACCUGGGAACUGCAUUCGAAACUGGCAGGCUAGAGUCUUGUAGAGGGGGGUAGAAUUCCAGGUGUAGCGGUGAAAUGCGUAGAGAUCUGGAGGAAUACCGGUGGCGAAGGCGGCCCCCUGGACAAAGACUGACGCUCAGGUGCGAAAGCGUGGGGAGCAAACAGG
rnacentral:rRNA from 1 species